rnacentral:rRNA from 1 species
GAUCCUGGCUCAGGAUGAACGCUAGCGGCAGGCCUAACACAUGCAAGCCGAGGGGUAAGUCUCUUUCNGGGAGAACACGACCGGCGCACGGGUGAGUAACGCGUAUGCAACCUACCUUUGGCACGGGGACAGCCCGGGGAAACCCGGAUUAUACCCGGUAUAGUCUGUUAUACACCUGUAUAAAAGACGAGAGCUACGGCGGCCAAAGAUGGGCAUGCGUGCCAUUAGUUAGUUGGUAGGGUAACGGCCUACCAAGGCAUCGAUGGCUACGGGGUCUAAAAGGAUGAGCCCGCACACUGGUACUGAGACACGGACCAGACUCCUACGGGAGGCAGCAGUGAGGAAUAUUGGUCAAUGGGUGGAAGCCUGAACCAGCCAUGCCGCGUGCAGGAAGACGGCCUUAUGGGUUGUAAACUGCUUUUCUACGGGACGAACGGCUCUGACGCGUCAGGGAUUGACGGUACCGUAGGAAUAAGCAUCGGCUAACUCCGUGCCAGCAGCCGCGGUAAUACGGAGGAUGCGAGCGUUAUCCGGAUUUAUUAGGUUUAAAGGGUGCGUAGGCUGGGCAAUAAGUCAGUGGUGAAAGUCCGCGGCUCAACCGUGGGAUUGCCAUUGAAACUGUUGUUCUUGAGUACAGUCGAGGUAGGCGGAAUGUGUAAUGUAGCGGUGAAAUGCAUAGAUAUUACCCAGAACACCGAUUGCGUAGGCAGCUUACCAGCCUGGAACUGACGCUGAUGCACGAAAGCGUGGGGAGCGAACAGGAUUAGAUACCCUGGUAGUCCACGCCGUAAACGAUGAUCACUCGCUGUUGGCAAUAUAGAGUCAGCGGCUGAGCGAAAGCAUUAAGUGAUCCA